CCUGGGGGUCCUCGCUGGGGCUGACGAUGUGGCCCUGGCGGUCCAUGACGCGGUACACGGGGAUCCCGGAGAUGACGUUGGGUUGGAUGAACUCCAGGCGGUCGGCGAACUCAGCCGAGGCUCCGGGGAACUGCGGCUUCUCCUCCAGGGACGGGAAAUCCCGGGCGGUGCCGAGGCCUCGCCCCGCUCUCCCCGGAGCCGCCCUCAGGAGCCGCCCCCGCAGCGCCCUCAGCGCCAGCGCCGCCAUCUUGUGAGGGGCGAGAC
rnacentral:lncRNA from 1 species